rnacentral:rRNA from 1 species
AGAAUCAACGCUGGCGGCGUGCCUAACACAUGCAAGUCGAACGCGAAAGCCCCGAAAGGGGCAAGUAGAGUGGCAAACGGGUGAGUAACACGUGGGUGACCUGCCUUCGAGCGGGGGAUAACGUCCCGAAAGGGACGCUAAUACCGCAUAACAUCCUGCCUUUGAAGAGGUGGAGAUCAAAGCUGGGGAUUCGCAAGAACCCGGCACUUGAAGAGGGGCCCGCGUCUGAUUAGCUAGUCGGUGGGGUAACGCCUACCAAGGCAAACGAUCAGUA